rnacentral:rRNA from 1 species
CGGGACGGGUGAGUAACGCGUGGGCAACCUGCCUCACACAGGGGGACAACAGCUGGAAACGGCUGCUAAUACCGCAUAGGCGCACAGAAUCGCAUGAUUCGGUGUGGAAAGCUUUUGCAGUGUGAGAUGGGCCCGCGUCCGAUUAGGUAGUUGGUGGGGUAACGGCUCACCAAGCCGACGAUCGGUAGCCGGCCUGAGAGGGUGGACGGCCACAUUGGGACUGAGACACGGCCCAAACUCCUACGGAAGGCAGCAG